AUUCUACCUGGAACAGCGAUAGGUGCAAGUUGUCCGCGUCAUAGAUUCCACCGUCAAAGAAAUUAACUUUGUUGUAAAUUAUUCGUAGUGUAGACUCAAGUUAAUAUGUAUAUUAGUUUGUAAAUUUCAAGUCCAGUGUUUUAUUAAUCUUUAAAGAAUAAAAAAGGACAUAACAAAUGGCGAUAUGUGUGAAAAUAAUAGAAAGAACGGGUAAAUUCCUCUAGAGCACGUGUCGGACAUUCGCGUCAAACAAGAUGGCCUUAAGCAACUUUAAUUUUAAGGAAUUCAAUCCAGAAGUCGACUGUUAGAUAAUUUAUACCGAAAGGCUGAAGGAAUCGUUUAAAGCAAACGAGACCAAAGAUUCAAUACAAGUUAGUACACUUUUGAGUUUGAUAUCGAGUGAUACCUUUAAACUGUUAAGAGAUCUAUGCUAUCCAUCAAACCCAAAUACGAAAACUGUAGAUGAACUAAUAGCUAUUUUAAAGUUACAAUAUUGUCCAAAAACGUGUGUAUUUAGAGAAAGAAGGAAGUUUCAUGAAGCAAAGCAAGAAGAAGAUGAAACAGUAGCAGAAUGGUAUGCAAAAGUGCGAGCGUUAUCGGUAAAUUGCGAAUUCAGUGAGAAUUUGUCGAUUUUUCUGAAAGAUAAAUUCGUCACUGGGUUGAAAGCCGGACCGAUCUUCGACAGAAUGUGCGAAGAAGAUAAUAAAAUGGAUUUGGACAAAAUGGUUCAACUCACGAUUAAGAAGGACCACAACAAAAAUGGAAAAUCCUUAAAUUUCGUGAAGAGAAAAUCGGCGGGAAAAGUUGGGUAUCAUGGUGUUGCAAAUGGUAGAAGAUCAGGACAGGAAAUAAAAGUACGCAAUCGUCAGUCACCGCGCAAGGCCAGCAACAUGGCGGAACGGAAGGAACAAUCAAGGAGCAAUAAUUGUCAGUUUUGCAAUGAUAAUGGUGGACCAAAUAUAUUGGGAGUCGACUGGCUGGAUGCAUUUGGUGUCGGGUUCGAGGUGGUGAAUCAGGUCAAUGUAGAUAAAAGAAUUGGUGAAAUUUUAAAAAAAUUUCCGGAUGUUGUCACUAAGAAGAUUGACGACAUUUUACAUUUUGACAAGAGAAACAGAAGAAAAACAUCUGGCAACAUUGGAGAAAGUUUUGGAAAUACUAAAAAAAGCGGGGUUGACAGUUAAUCCAAAAAAAUGUGAAUUCUUCAAGGACAAAAUUGAGUAUGCUGGACACGUCAUUUGUAAGGAAGGUUUGAAGACAGAUCCUAAGAAAAUUCAAGCUAUUUUGACAGCACCAAACCCAACAAAUGUGACAGAAAUGAGGGUAGUAUUGGAUGCCAAUAAAAAAGUUCCAUUACAUCGUCUGCAACUGAACAAUCAUCAACAUCAGCUGAUAGCUCAAUAGUUGAUGAUAACAUGGUAGAAGAUUCUGUUUUGAGUGACGUGAAUGUUUCUGAGGCAAAUGAAGUUGUAGAAAAAAAUAUUGACGCCGAAGUAGAUCAGCCGAUCGAUGAAAGACCAUUGGAAGAUUCCACAGAAUCAUCAACGGUUCAGACUUCUGAUACCGCGUCUUCAGCAAAUCUGAAUUUGUGUUUUUUUUUUGCAAAAAAGCAAUUCAAGUCUAAAAAUGAGCCAUUGCGUACUUCAAGCAAAGAUCAAUUUCAAAUAAGCAUCUUAUCAAAAUUUAAGCCAGAUACUAAAAUUUAUAAUGAAAAUUUGACAAAAAUACAAAAUUUUACCUCAUUAAGUAUAUUACCAUGAUAUUUGUCGACAAAAUUUCGGGAAACAAAAACAAUCAUUGGUGAAAAGUCCUGUCCGCACUUCAUGGCACAUCUCUCGAGAAAUACAUGAAACUGUUUAUAAAGAAAUUUGUAAUUUAAUUGAAGAGAAUGUCAUAAAGCGGGGACGUUGUUAUUUUUAUUUCAUAUUUACAUAAAGAGAAUUUCGACAUGUUUAAAGAAUUGAGUGAAGACUCAGAUGCAACAUCAAUAUUUACCAUACACUAUUUGGAAGAGAACAUUCACCGGAAAUUUGGUGAUAAAAUUCAAAUUUGGUGUCAAACAGAAAAAAAGUUCUUGCUCCUAAAGGCAUUUCAACUAUUGAUGAUUCAUUAUUUGCGCACUUAAAAGACCAAGACACCUUGCAAGCAGCUGCUGCCAUUUUGAGACAAGAAAUUUUAGGAAUAACUAAAACAAAAUUACCUGAUUAUUUAAGUAGCCAACGACUAAUUAAAGGUGAAUGUUCAACACCACCAAUGAUUGCAGAUUUUUUUUCAUCAAUUUUUGGAGGUUACAGUCGUAAACUCAGGAAUUGUGGCAGUUUUCAACGUCAUGUAAAUUCUCUGUCACAGGACAUAAUUUAUAUGAGUUCCAUCAAGACUUCUAAGCACAUUUGUUUAAGUAUGGCAUUAAAAAGUCUUACAAGCAGUCGUAAGGUUAUAGAUAUAAUAAAUCGUUACGGUCAUUGUAUAAGUUAUAAUGCUAUCGAGGAGCUAGAGACAGAAGCUACGUAUUCGUCAGUUUCAAGUACUGGAAUGUGUCCAGAGGCAAUUAAUAAAAAUGAAAAUCGUUCGACAGGCAUGGCUUUUGAUAAUUUCGACCGGUUUGUUGAUACCAAAAAUGGUAAAGACACUCUGCAUGAUACGGUUGGGAUGAUUUACCAAAACAUUGAUCACAACCUCGAAAAAAAAAA